rnacentral:rRNA from 1 species
GACGAACGCUGGCGGCGUGCUUAACACAUGCAAGUCGAACGGAAAGGCCCCUUCGGGGGUACUCGAGUGGCGAACGGGUGAGUAACACGUGGGUAAUCUGCCCUGCACUUCGGGAUAAGCCUGGGAAACUGGGUCUAAUACCGGAUAGGACCAAAAGGCGCAUGCCUUGUGGUGGAAAGCUUUUGCGGUGUGGGAUGGGCCCGCGGCCUAUCAGCUUGUUGGUGGGGUGACGGCCUACCAAGGCGACGACGGGUAGCCGGCCUGAGAGGGUGUCCGGCCACACUGGGACUGAGAUACGGCCCAGACUCCUACGGGAGGCAGCAGUGGGGAAUAUUGCACAAUGGGCGCAAGCCUGAUGCAGCGACGCCGCGUGGGGGAUGACGGCCUUCGGGUUGUAAACCUCUUUCGCCAUCGACGAAGGUCCGGG